CAGGUUGAACUGCAAAGAAUGUGAAGACAUAAGGAGCACUUUUUUCCAGGUAUUUGCUAGAAGGACAACAGAAUAGCAUUCUCCCUCUUUGCUGCUGAAGUCCUUAUCUGACACGUGCAGAAGGUGAGCCAGGUUUGUUCACUGUUCUCCACGUGUGUCCUUGCUGGACACCCGCCUGGGUUUCUGCUCCUCCUCGGUCUGAGCACUGUGCUCCUCUUCCCACAGUGGGAAGCAGGUUGUUGAAGUUUCUCUUGUAGCGCCAGAUCCUUUCCUGGAAAGAAGGGCCUGACUUUCUCCAGACCAAGCAGACGGUCGCACCCCUGGAAGGUUCCCCCUAGACUCGCCUCUGUUGUGCAGAAUUUCUCUGCUGAGGGGAACACCUCGGAAGGAAGCGGAACACAACCUUCUUAGACACUUUGUUCUUGAUGCCAUCAAAAGAGUCUGCAGCCUGAAAGAACCUAUUGCCACAAGCAGCAGUAAAAAUCAAGGUUCCAAGCCCUUCUACUACAGAGAGCAAGGGAGCAGACCCAACAUACAGGAUGAAGAGGAAGAUGGGGCCCCCCAGAGGGGAAGGCGGGAGCAACGAGAAGACAGUGUGUUCCACCUGUACAAUCAGCUUGGCGCACCCACAGCAGAGACAGUUCCUCUGUCCAGGUGGAGGCAAACCAUUCUCUUCCCAGCGAUUCUCCAUUUUUUCCCAUAUCCCAUCGCACCUUAGCAAAUAAGCAUUCUAACCAG
rnacentral:lncRNA from 1 species